GACGAACGCUGGCGGCGUGCUUAACACAUGCAAGUCGAACGAUGAAGAAGAGACACGCGAACUUCGGUUCUAAUUUCACUUCGGAUUAGUGGCAGACGGGUGAGUAACGCGUGAGCAACCUACCUCUUACAAAGGGAUAGCCUCGGGAAACCGUGAUUAAUACCAUAUGACACAUUCAUAAGUCAUCUUAAGAAUGUUAAAGCUACGGCGGUAAGAGAUGGGCUUGCGUCCCAUUAGCUUGUUGGUGAGGUAACGGCCCACCAAGGCGACGAUGGGGAACCGGCAUGAGAGGGUGAACAGUCACACUAGAACUAUGACGCGGUCCGCACUCCUACGGGAGGCAGCGGUGGGGAAUAUAGCACUGUGGAGGGAAGUCUGAUGCAGCGAGGCCGCGUGGGGGAUGAAGGAAUUCGUUUCGUAGAGCUCUGUACUAUGGGAAGAAAAGGACUGUACCAUAGGAGGAAGCGCCGGCUAAAUACGUG
rnacentral:rRNA from 1 species